rnacentral:misc_RNA from 1 species
CGAGCAUUGGUUCGGCUAACCGUCACGGAUCUGUCCAUCUUCAUUGCCGUCCUGCCGGGAUGUUUUCUUUCUGGCUAAGGAUGCGCGUGCCGACGGUUGCCUGUGCGGCUCUGUCGUUCGGAGGUGAAGGUGAUUUGAACGUCUCGUCUCAUGACGUGAAGACGUGUUUCGGAUGGCGCUUGCAUUUUCUGCCUUGUUAAAAUGGGGCAGUAGCGGUCGAUGACGGGCGCUCGAGCGGCGAGGGGAGGGGCUAUCCCGUCGCCUCUUGAGGCCGUUGUCGGCUCGUACGGAUGCUGUGUGAUGCGUGUGAUCUGCCGGCGGCUGCCGGCAGUUCGCUGAAGGGGAGGCCUYUCAUYYUUYSGKKGUUGCCUCGUUUGCCUGGCUGCUCUGCUCUCUUGUCGCCGGCCGUUGCGACGGGGGAGAGUUGUCGGCAUAGCGGGACGAGGCCCGUGCGUGAUUGGUUACUCCCCGUCCCGCUUGUGCGUUUGCCGAUCCACGUCAUGCGUGCAGCCUCCUUCGCGGGUGGUUUUGCCGAUUGAUGUGCCGGCUCUG